AUACGGAGGGGGCUAGCGUUGUUCGGAAUUACUGGGCGUAAAGCGCGCGUAGGCGGCCUGUCAAGUUGGGCGUGAAAGCCCGGGGCUCAACCCCGGAAUUGCGUUCAAAACUGGCAAGCUAGAGACCGAGAGAGGUGAGUGGAAUUCCCAGUGUAGAGGUGAAAUUCGUAGAUAUUGGGAAGAACACCAGUGGCGAAGGCGGCUCACUGGCUCGGUACUGACGCUGAGGUGCGAAAGCGUGGGGAGCAAACAGGAUUAGAAACCCGGGUAGUCC
rnacentral:rRNA from 1 species